GAUGAACGCUGGCGGCGUGCUUAACACAUGCAAGUCGGACGGGAAACCUUUUAAUGAAGCUUCGGCAGAUUUAGCUGGUUUCUAGUGGCGGACGGGUGAGUAACGCGUGGGUAACCUGCCUUAUACAGGGGGAUAACAGUCAGAAAUGACUGCUAAUACCGCAUAAGCGCACAGGACCGCAUGGUCCGGUGUGAAAAACUCCGGUGGUAUAAGAUGGACCCGCGUUGGAUUAGCUUGUUGGUGGGGUAACGGCUCACCAAGGCGACGAUCCAUAGCCGGCCUGAGAGGGUGAACGGCCACAUUGGGACUGAGACACGGCCCAGACUCCUACGGGAGGCAGCAGUGGGGAAUAUUGCACAAUGGGGGAAACCCUGAUGCAGCGACGCCGCGUGAAGGAAGAAGUAUCUCGGUAUGUAAACUUCUAUCAGCAGGGAAGAUAGUGACGGUACCUGACUAAGAAGCCCCGGCUAACUACGUG
rnacentral:rRNA from 1 species